rnacentral:rRNA from 1 species
GACGAACGCUGGCGGCGUGCCUAAUACAUGCAAGUCGAACGAGAGCGACCGGUGCUUGCACUGGUCAAUCUAGUGGCGAACGGGUGAGUAACACGUGGGUAACCUGCCCAUCAGAGGGGGAUAACAUCCGGAAACGGAUGCUAAAACCGCAUAGGUCUUCGAGCCGCAUGGCUUGAAGAGGAGAAGAGGCGCAAGCUUCUGCUGAUGGAUGGACCCGCGGUGCAUUAGCUAGUUGGUGAGGUAACGGCUCACCAAGGCCGUGAUGCAUAGCCGACCUGAGAGGGUGAUCGGCCACAUUGGGACUGAGACACGGCCCAAACUCCUACGGGAGGCAGCAGUAGGGAAUCUUCCGCAAUGGACGCAAGUCUGACGGAGCAACGCCGCGUGAGUGAAGAAGGUUUUCGGAUCGUAAAACUCUGUUGUUAGAGAAGAACAAGUGCUAGAGUAACUGUUAGCGCCUUGACGGUAUCUAACCAGAAAGCCACGGCUAACUACGUG